rnacentral:lncRNA from 1 species
UUCAUGAUCCUUCUUUUAAGAGCUGCAUGGAUUUGGAGUCUUAUCCUCACUAGAAGAGAGGAAUGCACCCAAUGGAAAAGAGGAGAGCAACCAAAGUCUAAGCUAAGAGCAUAGUUUCAUAUAUCCAAAACAUCAUUCACUGUUAAAUCCAGGAAACAUCCUUGGAUUUGGAAAUUAUGGAAGGAGAAAUUAUUAUUGGAACUGUACUGAACCUUUAGCUCAAUUAAGGUUACAAUUACAGCUCUUAAUGUUUGGACAUCAUUGAAGUAUGUACGUCUAUCAGAAAUUAAUGCCUUCAGACAGGUGGAAGAGACACUAGAAUAGCACAUACUGUGACCACUUAUUAGCAACAUCACGCAGGUCCAGAUAAAUCGAAGAAUGUUUUGUAGA